GACGAACGCUGGCGGCGUGCUUAACACAUGCAAGUCGAACGGAAAGGCCCUGCUUUUGUGGGGUGCUCGAGUGGCGAACGGGUGAGUAACACGUGAGUAACCUGCCCUUGACUUUGGGAUAACUUCAGGAAACUGGGGCUAAUACCGGAUAGGAGCUCCUGCUGCAUGGUGGGGGUUGGAUAGUUUCGGCGGUUGGGGAUGGACUCGCGGCUUAUCAGCUUGUUGGUGGGGUAGUGGCUUACCAAGGCUUUGACGGGUAGCCGGCCUGAGAGGGUGACCGGCCACAUUGGGACUGAGCUACGGCCCAGACUCCUACGGGAGGCAGCAGUGGGGAAUAUUGCACAAUGGGCGGAAGCCUGAUGCAGCAACGCCGCGUGCGGGAUGACGGCCUUCGGGUUGUAAACCGCUUUCGCCUGUGACGAAGCGUGAGUGACGGUAAUGGGUAAAGAAGCACCGGCUAACUACGUG
rnacentral:rRNA from 1 species